rnacentral:ncRNA from 1 species
CCUCUGGAGAAUCCCGGUUACCCGGGUGCCGAAGGGGCAAGGAGCGCGCGCCGCUCCGAAACUCUCAGGCCAAAGGACAGAGCGA